CCUACGGGUGGCAGCAGUGAGGAAUAUUGGUCAAUGGGCGCGAGCCUGAACCAGCCAAGUAGCGUGAAGGAUGACUGCCCUACGGGUUGUAAACUUCUUUUAUAAAGGAAUAAAGUGAGGCACGUGUGCCUUUUUGUAUGUACUUUAUGAAUAAGGAUCGGCUAACUCCGUGCCAGCAGCCGCGGUAAUACGGAGGAUCCGAGCGUUAUCCGGAUUUAUUGGGGUUAAAGGGUGGGAGGUGGGCCUGUUAAGUCAGCGGUAAAAGCCCGGGGUUCAACCCCGGCGAGCGGUUGAAACUGGCGGGCUGGAGUUGGAGAGAGGUACGCGGAAUGCGCGGUGUAGCGGUGAAAUGCUUAGAGAUCGAGCAGAACACUGAUUGCGAAGGCAGCGUACCGGCUCCACACUGACGCUGAGGCACGAAAGCGUGGGUAUCGAACAGGAUUAGAUACCCGUGUAGUC
rnacentral:rRNA from 1 species